rnacentral:rRNA from 1 species
AGUGAACGCUGGCGGUAGGCCUAACACAUGCAAGUCGAACGGCAGCACAGUAAGCGCUUGCUCUUACGGGUGGCGAGUGGCGGACGGGUGAGGAAUACAUCGGAAUCUACUUUUUCGUGGGGGAUAACGUAGGGACACUUACGCUACUACCUCAUACGACCUACGGGUGAAAGCAGGGGAUCUUCGGACCUUUCGCGUCUGAUUUAGCCGAUGUCGGAUUGGCUAAUUGGCAGGGUAAAGGCCCACCAUGGCGACGCUUCGUUGCUGGUCUGAGAGGAUGAUCGGCCACACUGAACCUGAGACACGGUCCAGACUCCUACGGGAGGCAGCAGUGGGGAAUAUUGGACAAUGGGCGAAAGCCUGAUGCAGCCAGCCCGCGUGGGUGAAGAAGGCCUUCGAGUUGUAAAGCCCUUUUGUUGGGAAAGAAAAGCAGCAGGUUAAUACCGCGCUGUUCGGACGGUACCAAAAGAAUAAGCACCGGCAAACUUCGU